UACGGAGGGUGCGAGCGUUGUCCGGAAUCACUGGGCGUAAAGGGCGCGUAGGUGGCCUGUGGAAGUCUGCGGUGAAAGCCCGGCGCUCAACGCCGGGUCGGCCGUGGAUACUCUCGGGCUUGAGCUUACUAGAGGCAGAUGGAAUUCCGGGUGUAGCGGUGGAAUGCGUAGAGAUCCGGAAGAACACCAACGGCGAAGGCAGCUCGCUGGGACGGUACUGACACUGAGGCGCGAAAGCGUGGGGAGCAAACAGG
rnacentral:rRNA from 1 species